UAUAAUUCUUGGACAAAAAUAGAAGGCUAAUUACGGUUGUGCCAUGUCUUUUGUACAAGGAAAAGAGAGACAGAAUACGGUAAAGAGAGAGGGAGGGAGACACUUACCGGCCGGCAACCAAUCAUUACGGCAGAGACACGGCGGCACGCUGGCGGUGACAUCACAACCGGCGCGUACACUACCACAACUCGGCCACCAAUCAUACGGAACAACGGUUCCGUCAGUGAUGUUGGUUCCGCGGUACAAGCGACGACGGUUGUAUUCCUAUGGUCCAAGUGGUAUAUGAGGGCGACCAGCGUUGGCGGCAAAAACUGGAACUAGGGUUUCGGUCGGUGUCCCACAGCCUAUCUGGCUUCAAGACGAUGUCUCCGGCGACAUGCAAUGGCCACGCAGUUAGGGCUUCGCCACAAACACAAACACGACGACGACUGUGGUUGAUCUCCCGCGACAUUGGAAGCCGAUCCUUCCAAACCAGGUCAUUCAUUUGUCAGUCAAAGUUGUGGACUUUCGCUAGCGAUUACACUUGCGGAUAGCAUGAAUGUGAAUCCAAAAAAGAUGUGAAGAAGUUGAAAGUGGAAUUUCAGAUUCACAUAGAACAGACGCCAGAUUUUUCACAAAAGACGGCCAUAUGUUAUCCAAGCUAAGCUAAGACGGUGAAUGAUGCUUAUUAUGAAAAUUAUUUAAAGAAUAUGAAGAUCAAAUGUUUUCAUGUGUUCGUGUAUAAAGAUUGUAUUUGCAUACAUUUGCAUUUAGCUUGGAUUCUAAAUUCUGUUAUUUCUAUUACACUAUUAAGUACUAAAUUUCAUUGUUUUAAUCA